UACAGAGGGUGCGAGCGUUAAUCGGAGUUACUGGGCGUAAAGGGCGCGUAGGUGGUGAUACGAGUCAGAGGUGAAAGCCCUAGGCUUAACCUAGGAAUUGCCUAUGAUACGGUAUGACUAGAGUCGCGGAGAGGAUGGUGGAAUUUCCGGUGUAGCGGUGAAAUGCGUAGAUAUCGGAAGGAACACUGGUGGCGAAGGCGACCAUCUGGACUGAUACUGACACUGAGGUGCGAAAGCGUGGGGAGCAAACAGG
rnacentral:misc_RNA from 1 species